rnacentral:lncRNA from 1 species
GCUGCCUCUGAAAGAGCUCACCGAGUGCGCUCCCUCUCUCUGACUAAGGACCCCUGUGGAUAAGAAAGCUCUCUGCCCUAGAGAAGAAGAGCAGUCAAGGUGCUUACAGGCUCUUUCCCGAAGACUGAAGACCUUUCCCAGGGUGGACUGUGGUGCCCUUCCCUGUGCAGGCACCCUGACCACUGUGUGUUCAGAGAAGAGGGAUGUGGCACACACACCUGAGAAGCACUGGGACUCCUGCGAGACCAAGUGGGAGGUUGCCACUCCUGGGGACCAUCUGAUGGGAAGCAGCGGUGAAGAAAAGGGAAUGGCGUCUGGAUGUGGAUGGAGGCAGGUGCUUCUACUGCUGCCCGGCCAGAGAGGAGCAUCCCCAGAGGGUCCGUCCCUAGCCAGGCUGGAAGCUUGUCUCUGCGCAUCUGGUCCCCUCUCGAAGCAGUUCUCAAAAGCCGUUGAGACACACUGCUGGGAUGUGGCAACACACCAAGAGGCAAGAAAUAAUGUAGAUGCUUCUUAGGACCAUGAAGCGAAAGCCAAGAUCUGGGGAUAGUGAAACAGAUAGCCAGAGG